rnacentral:sRNA from 1 species
GCUGGGCACAGUGGCAUAUACCUAUAAUCCCAGUGGCCUGGAGGCUGAGUCAGGGGGAUCAUGAAUUCAAAGCCAGCCUCAGCAACUGCGCGAGGUGCUUAGCAACUCAGUGAGACCCUGUCUCUA